AUUGAACGCUGGCGGCAUGCUUUACACAUGCAAGUCGAACGGUAACAGGCCUUCGGGUGCUGACGAGAGGCGAACGGGUGCGUAAUGCAUCGGAACGUACCCAGAGGUGGGGGAUAACGCAGCGAAAGCUGUGCUAAUACCGCAUGUGAUCUGAGGAUGAAAGCGGGGGACCGAGCAGCAAUGUUUGGCCUCGCGCCUUUGGAGCGGCCGAUGUCGGAUUAGCUAGUUGGUGGGGUAAAGGCCUACCAAGGCGACGAUCCGUAGCUGGUCUGAGAGGACGACCAGCCACACUGGGACUGAGACACGGCCCAGACUCCUACGGGAGGCAGCAGUGGGGAAUUUUGGACAAUGGGCGCAAGCCUGAUCCAGCAAUGCCGCGUGCGGGAAGAAGGCCUUCGGGUUGUAAACCGCUUUUGGCAGGAACGAAACGGUGUCCGCUAAUACCGGGCGCUAAUGACGGUACCUGCAGAAUAAGCACCGGCUAACUACGUG
rnacentral:rRNA from 1 species